rnacentral:lncRNA from 10 species
UUGCUCUCCCCAUGAAAACAGUAAAACAAGAUCUUUGAUUAAGAAAGAGCUACAGUUCAUUUUCUAUGGCUAGCCUGAGGUCAGCAUACAUUUCUAUGACUUUUUGUCAUUCUAAAAUUGUAAAAGGGAUAAUUUCAUUUAAGUCUUCAUCUCCAUGUUUAUCAGUUAUUCCAAAGAUGUUUUUAUGUUUGUUAAUUUUAGCUUUUUUUGUUAGAGAUUGCUCCUUUAUAGCCUCGCUUUUUUUUUAUAUAAGUGUUGCCUUUGAUUUAGUGUUAAUUUCCAGCAAUUCUUGGCACGUUCUAGAUAUGAGGUGCCAGAUUUAGACUUGAAAAUACUUUCCUUGUAUUUGUUGUUAAUUUAAUCCACUUGAUACUUUAUUUCAUGCUUCAAGUCUUCCUUAUUUUCUGCAGUAGUGCUAUUGAAAAGUUCUGUAGAUGAUUCGUGGUAUAGCCAGGUUUGAUUCACAGCUCAGAACCAAUAACCAAGAUAGAGGUUCAGUAGUUUUGCUGCUCAUAUCUCAGCUGUUUUGUUCUCAUCCUCCCCAAGGCCUGGUUGUCUAUAAGAACAGAGCUUAGAAAGAGCUGAUGGUAAAUGUAGUAUGACAUUUAUGCUGAGAGCCCCGUGGCAUGCCAAGCUCACCUUAUAAUUGUUUUUCCUGUGACUG